CGCGCGAUACAGGGUGACAGCCCCGUACACAAAAGCGCAUGUGUUGUGAGCUCGAUGAGUAGGGCGGGACACGUGGUAUCCUGUCUGAAUAUGGGGGGACCAUCCUCCAAGGCUAAAUACUCCUGACUGACCGAUAGUGAACCAGUACCGUGAGGGAAAGGCGAAAAGAACCCCGGCGAGGGGAGUGAAAAAGAACCUGAAACCGUGUACGUACAAGCAGUGGGAGCACCCUUCGGGGUGUGACUGCGUACCUUUUGUAUAAUGGGUCAGCGACUUAUAUUCUGUAGCAAGGUUAACCGAAUAGGGGAGCCGGAGGGAAACCGAGUCUUAAUUGGGCGUUAAGUUGCAGGGUAUAGACCCGAAACCCGGUGAUCUAGCCAUGGGCAGGUUGAAGGUUGGGUAACACUAACUGGAGGACCGAACCGACUAAUGUUGAAAAAUUAGCGGAUGACCUGUGGCUGGGGGUGAAAGGCCAAUCAAACCGGGAGAUAGCUGGUUCUCCCCGAAAGCUAUUUAGGUAGCGCCUCGUGAAUUCAUCUCCGGGGGUAGAGCACUGUUUCGGCUAGGGGGCCAUCCCGGCUUACCAACCCGAUGCAAACUGCGAAUACCGGAGAAUGCUAUCACG
rnacentral:rRNA from 1 species